AUUGAACGCUGGCGGCAGGCUUAACACAUGCAAGUCGAGCGGGGAUAGGGUGCUUGCACCUGAUUCCUAGCGGCGGACGGGUGAGUAAUGCUUAGGAAUCUGCCUAUUAGUGGGGGACAACGUUCCGAAAGGGACGCUAAUACCGCAUACGUCCUACGGGAGAAAGCAGGGGAUCUUCGGACCUUGCGCUAAUAGAUGAGCCUAAGUCGGAUUAGCUAGUUGGGGGGGUAAAGGCCUACCAAGGCGACGAUCUGUAGCGGGUCUGAGAGGAUGAUCCGCCACACUGGGACUGAGACACGGCCCAGACUCCUACGGGAGGCAGCAGUGGGGAAUAUUGGACAAUGGGGGGAACCCUGAUCCAGCCAUGCCGCGUGUGUGAAGAAGGCCUUUUGGUUGUAAAGCACUUUAAGCGAGGAGGAGGCUUACCUGGUUAAUACCCGGGAUAAGUGGACGUUACUCGCAGAAUAAGCACCGGCUAACUCUGUGCCAGCCGCCGCAGUAA
rnacentral:rRNA from 1 species